rnacentral:rRNA from 1 species
AUGUCGGGUUUGGGUAGAAAGUAUCCAUCGGGAAGUGAAAAAGGAAAAAGGAACGCGGUAGAUGAGAUGAAAGGAGCAUCGAGAGGAUCCUUUAAAUAUUAUAAGAGCGAUACGAGCACUUGAGAAAAUCCAGACAAGCUGGCAAUAGUUCCUGCAGAUGACCGAACUAGUGUUGAUGAGGAGGAUGCUGGUCAUACUCCUAUGGAAGACAAUGUUGACAUCAACAUGGAUGAUACCAAUGUGAGUGAUCAUGAGCCCAUAUUUAAUUCGUCUGUGACAUGAUCUGUUAGUGUUGAUGAGGAAACGGUUGUUACUGUGGAUAUUUAUGAUCCAAGUAAUUGGGGUAAUCUUAAUAACAAAGCAAGGGACAUAUUAGUGGAAAAAGGGGCCUAG